rnacentral:sRNA from 1 species
GCAGGUGAAUACAACGUUGAGCGAUGAACGUUGUGCUCCAUGAUUGUAGUGUUUCUCAUAUUGAGUUUUAUACCGAUUAAUUGACGUUAUGCCGAUACUAAAAUCAUUAGUAUCGGCUAUU